rnacentral:rRNA from 1 species
AGAGUUUGAUCCUGGCUCAGGAUGAACGCUGGCGGCAUGCCUAAUACAUGCAAGUCGAACGAGAGGAAGGAAAGCUUGCUUUUCUGAAUCUAGUGGCGAACGGGUGAGUAACACGUAGGUAACCUGCCCAUGUGCCCGGGAUAACUUCUGGAAACGGAUGCUAAAACCGGAUAGGUAGCAGACAAGCAUUUGACUGCUAUUAAAGUGGCUAAGGCCAUGAACAUGGAUGGACCUGCGGUGCAUUAGCUAGUUGGUGAGGUAACGGCCCACCAAGGCGACGAUGCAUAGCCGGCCUGAGAGGGCGGACGGCCACAUUGGGACUGAGACACGGCCCAAACUCCUACGGGAGGCAGCAGUAGGGAAUUUUCGUCAAUGGGGGGAACCCUGAACGAGCAAUGCCGCGUGAGUGAAGAAGGUCUUCGGAUCGUAAAGCUCUGUUGUAAGAGAAAAACGACAUUCAUAGGGAAUGAUGAGUGAGUGAUGGUAUCUUACCAGAAAGUCACGGCUAACUACGUGCCAGCAGCCGCGGUAAUACGUAGGUGGCGAGCGUUAUCCGGAAUGAUUGGGCGUAAAGGGUGCGUAGGUGGCAGAACAAGUCUGGAGUAAAAGGUAUGGGCUCAACCCGUACUGGCUCUGGAAACUGUUCAGCUAGAGAACAGAAGAGGACGGCGGAACUCCAUGUGUAGCGGUAAAAUGCGUAGAUAUAUGGAAGAACACCGGUGGCGAAGGCGGCCGUCUGGUCUGUUGCUGACACUGAAGCACGAAAGCGUGGGGAGCAAAUAGGAUUAGAUACCCUAGUAGUCCACGCCGUAAACGAUGAGAACUAGGUGUUGGGGGAAUAACUCAGUGCCGCAGUUAACGCAAUAAGUUCUCCGCCUGGGGAGUAUGCACGCAAGUGUGAAACUCAAAGGAAUUGACGGGGGCCCGCACAAGCGGUGGAGUAUGUGGUUUAAUUCGACGCAACGCGAAGAACCUUACCAGGUCUUGACAUCCAACUAACGAAGCAGAGAUGCAUUAGGUGCCCUUCGGGGAAAGUUGAGACAGGUGGUGCAUGGUUGUCGUCAGCUCGUGUCGUGAGAUGUUGGGUUAAGU